AAAAAUUGGUGUGGACAAAGGUUUUCAUAAGCAUUUAAAUAACUAGUUCCAACAACAUUCAAAUUUAAAGACAAACUAAAUUGAUUGUUUCCAAAUGAACAACAAUAUCCAAAUUUGUCCAACAAAGAAACAUAAACUAAAUUUCGCCUAAAAGAUGAUACUAUGAAUGUAUCUUUUAAAUCCAAAUAAAAACUAGUUCCUAAUAACAACCUAAA
rnacentral:lncRNA from 1 species